rnacentral:rRNA from 1 species
AUUGAACGCUGGCGGCAGGCCUAACACAUGCAAGUCGAGCGGUAGCACAGAAGAGCUUGCUCUUUGGGUGACGAGCGGCGGACGGGUGAGUAAUGUCUGGGAAACUGCCUGAUGGAGGGGGAUAACUACUGGAAACGGUAGCUAAUACCGCAUAACCUCGCAAGAGCAAAGAGGGGGACCUUCGGGCCUCUCGCCAUCAGAUGUGCCCAGAUGGGAUUAGCUAGUAGGUGAGGUAAUGGCUCACCUAGGCGACGAUCCCUAGCUGGUCUGAGAGGAGGACCAGCCACACUGGAACUGAGACACGGUCCAGACUCCUACGGGAGGCAGCAGUGGGGAAUAUUGCACAAUGGGCGCAAGCCUGAUGCAGCCAUGCCGCGUGUGUGAAGAAGGCCUUCGGGUUGUAAAGCACUUUCAGCGGGGAGGAAGGCGGUAAAGUUAAUAACCUUAUCGAUUGACGUUACCCGCAGAAGAAGCACCGGCUAACUCCGUGCCAGCCGCCGCGGUAA